GCGGCUGCUGUCACGUCGCGGCGCCCGAACCCGCCCGAGCGCGCGCUCGGGAGUUUCCGUGACCGUGGCGCCGCGGACGGAGCUCUUCGUUUCGUCUUUCGUCAUGGCGCCCGCGCCGAGCGCGGACGGAUUCUCCGGGACUGUUCGAGGGUGUCCUUCCUGUCUGGACGCUGAUCCUUGGACGCUGCUAGAAUCGUGACGAUUCCUGGAAUCUGCCGAUUUACCAAAGUUUCAAGAGCGUCGAACGAGACAUUUGUUUACGUCGUUCGGAGGAGUGACGCGAGAGUUGGGAAACGUCGAGAGACGACCAAAUUAUUCGUAUUUUUGUGUUGAUGGAUUCUUGCUUCUUUUCAAACGACCAUCAAGGAUUUACAAGAUGAGGCUAAAAAAUAAAUUCAUUAAUCAGUAA